CCCUUAGAUGUUCUGGGCCGCACGCGCGCUACACUGACGAUGUCAGAGAGUGUCUCCUUCACCGAGAGGUGUGGGUAAUCUUUUAAACAUCGUCGUGCUGGGGAUAGAUCAUUGCAAUUUUUGAUCUUAAACGAGGAAUUCCUAGUAAGCGCGAGUCAUCAGCUCGCGCUGAUUACGUCCCUGCCCUUUGUACACACCGCCCGUCGCUACUACCGAUUGAAUGGUUUAGUGAGAUCUUCGGAUUGGCGCCACUGCGGCUCAGCAAUGGGCUCGGUGGAUGCCGAAAAGUUGAUCAAACUUGAUCAUUUAGAGGAAGUAAAAGUCGUAACA
rnacentral:rRNA from 1 species